rnacentral:lncRNA from 1 species
CCUGGCUCUACUUCUAACUCAAUUUCUUUCCCCUUUGAGCCUCUGUUUCCUCUUCUAUAAAAUGAGGUUAGAAUCUCUGGUUUCUAAGUGCCCCUUGAUGCUCUAUGAUGAUCAUUUAAGAUUUAUAAGAUAGGAUCUGAACCCUGGAAAAGCUCCCAGUCUGGCUGAGGAGAUAAGGCAAACACCACUAACAAAGAGAUGACAAUAAAUAUCCUUUCUCCCACACUCAACAGUUUUCUACACUCUUCCACAGCUACUAAAUCAUUUGAUCCAGACAACCUUAUGACAGAGGCAGGGCAGAGAUUAUUAUUCCCAUUUCAGAAAGCAGAAAAUUAAGGUACUCACAGAGGAAGUGACUUAUCUAAGGUCACACAAAUAGUAAGGAGCAGAGCCAGGAUUCUGAACUGAAAUUCUUUAACUCCCAAGUCACUAACCCUCUGUUUCCCUUGUAAAAAGGAAUUUUCAUUUAACGAUUUCCAAGUUUACUGAAUUGGGAAAGGAAAAGGAAAUAAAGAACUACAAACCACAUCCUUGCCAAGCUCACAGACUAGAUGAAGAAACUGAAACCCAAAGAGAGGAAGCCACCUACUCAAGGCCACAUACAAAGUUAAUUCACAACAGACCCAGGACCUGAACUCCAGAAUGCUGACACCAGUCCAGUGUGCUUUCCCAGCCUACCACUCCCAGCUCCAAACCGUCUGCAGGCUCAGAGACAGAAAGAAGAAACUGGAUUCCCUCCCUUCUCUCCACUUGUCUUCUACACUUAAUUACCUCACUUAUUACGCCGCAGCCCGGAGAGGCAGAGAAAAAGUGCAGGGACAGUCAGCAGGCAGAGCAGAUCGCCACAACUGGGGCGUAAGUAAUCCCUUAUUCGGCUAACGGGCCUUCAAGGGAGGAAAUUGCACAUGCAGGCGUAUAAAUAAAUAAGGGAGCUUAAAAGCA